rnacentral:lncRNA from 1 species
GGAAUUCUCCCUUCUCUUCCUUCUCUGUCAGAUCAAGGCUGAUGUCCUAGGCUGAAGGUAUGGCACUGAGAAGACUUCUGUUGCUCUUGGCAGGUUUGGCACAAAUAUACGGAACUUGUCAUGUAACUUCCCGGGGGAAGAGUUUUGUUACUGCCUUCAUGCAAAAUCACAAUCCUGGGCAACCUACUCAAAAACUUGAGCUGCACAUCUCUGGAUAUAAUUUUGUGACAAAUAUUAAGGUGUCGACCAGCAAUACGAUACUACACAAAACCAUCAAUGAAGGAGAAAUUGCUUCCAUUACGUUACCACAGUCCUUAGUAAUGGUGGGGAGUGACAAAUUUAAUAAAGCGGUGCUGAUCGAAGCUGACCAGGACAUUUCCGUCAUCUCCUACAACUACUUGCCUCACACAAGUGAGGGAACAAUCACCUAUCCCAUCCACCAGCUGGGACAGUUAUAUUAUGUGGUCACCCCCAUAGGAAAUGGCACAAAAGAAUUUGCUAUCAUAU